AAUGAACGCUGGCGGCGCGCCUAAUACAUGCAAGUCGAGCGAGAAGACGUAGCAAUACGUUUGUAAAGCGGCGAACGGGUGAGGAAUACAUGGGUAACCUACCCUCGAGUGGGGAAUAACUAGCCGAAAGGUUAGCUAAUACCGCGUACGCUCCUUGGACUUCGGUUCAGGGAGGAAAGCGAUACCGUGGGUAUCGCGCUCUUGGUUGGGCUCAUGUCCUAUCAGCUUGUUGGUGAGGUAACGGCUCACCAAGGCUUCGACGGGUAGCUGGUCUGAGAGGACGAUCAGCCACACUGGCACUGCGACACGGGCCAGACUCCUACGGGAGGCAGCAGUAAGGAAUAUUGCGCAAUGGGCGAAAGCCUGACGCAGCGACGCCGCGUGGGGGAUGAAGGUCUUCGGAUUGUAAACCCCUUUCGGGAGGGAAGAUGGAACGAGCAAUCGUUCGGACGGUACCUCCAGAAGCAGCCACGGCUAACUUCGUGCCAGCAGCCGCGGUAAC
rnacentral:rRNA from 1 species